rnacentral:lncRNA from 1 species
CUCGUGAUCUGCCCGCCUCGGCCUCCCAAAGUGCUGGGAUUACAGGCGUGAGCCACCGCGCCCGGCCAGGGAAUCGUAUUGACUUUUUUAAGAGUCAAUUCUCUUUUGAACUCAGAUUUCAAAAGGGGUACAGGGAAUCAUCUCGAUAUAAGUGUUGAUAUAAAGUUUAUUCUCAGAUACUUGUGAAGCCAAAAACUCUGUGCUAACAUUUGCAGGCCUUUGGGAAAACUGUGCAUGGAGGUCUGAAUAGCAUAUGUCCAAAUAGUUGAAGUUUUUAUAAAUUAAGCUAACUCAUUAUUAAAGAAAAUCUGUUCUAGCCUCCUUCCUUGAUAAAUACACCUUCAUAACAGCUGCCCCUUGGAAGCUAUUAAAUAUGUUAUAUCCUCUUGCCUUCAUAACAGCUGUCCCUUGGCCACCCCUCUGGGUUGGGGUGCGUAUGCCCAAUCAUCUUGGGGACAGGCCCUCAAAGCAGGCUUGGAGCCGUUAGGGCCGGUUCCCUGGAGCUCCACGUGCACCUGUCUUCUCACCCUAUGUGGGGAGUGAUGGUCAGAGGAGGGCCAGAGUGGAACCGCAGCCUCAUGGGGCCCAGGGCAGGCACCUCUCUGGCUCUGGUCUGAGUGAAUCAUUCCAUAUUUCCCAUGUGCAGGUCAUGUGCUGGGUGCUGGGAACACAAAGGUAUCAUUCUGAUCAUUGUUGUUACAGGAGAGAUGAGAGGAAGUUAGAGGGGCUAGAAGAACCAGGAGACCUGUUGAAAAUCAUGAAUACAAAGAGAGGUCGUUUGCUUCUGUGCUUCAAUUCUAUAAUAAAAUGAGUACAAUGUCA